AUUGAACGCUGGCGGAAGGCCUAACACAUGCAAGUCGAGCGAGCGGCGGACGGGUGAGUAAUGUAUGGGGACUGCCCGAUAGAGGGGGAUAACUACUGGAAACGGUAGCUAAUAACGCAUACUAUCGGAUAACCCAUAUGGGAUUAGCUAGUAGGUGAGGUAAUGGCUCACCUAGGCGACGAUCCCUAGCUGGUCUGAGAGGAUGAUCAGCCCCUCUGGGACUGAGACACGGCCCGGACUCCUACGGAGGCAGCAGUGGGGAAUAUUGCAGCAUGGGCGCAAGCCUGAUGCAGCCAUGCCGCGUGUAUGAAGAAGGCCCUAGGGUUGUAAAGUACUUUUGGCAGAGAAGCGGUAUCUGCAGAAUAAGCCCCGGCUAACUACGUGCCAGCAGCCGCGGUAAUAC
rnacentral:rRNA from 1 species